UGGGGAAUAUUGGACAAUGGGCGCAAGCCUGAUCCAGCAAUGCCGCGUGGGUGAAGAAGGUUUUCGGAUUGUAAAGCCCUUUUGGCGGGGACGAUGAUGACGGUACCCGCAGAAUAAGCUCCGGCUAACUUCGUGCCAGCAGCCGCGGUAAUACGAAGGGGGCUAGCGUUGCUCGGAAUGACUGGGCGUAAAGGGCGCGUAGGCGGACUGCACAGUCAGGCGUGAAAUUCCUGGGCUUAACCUGGGGACUGCGUCUGAGACGUGUGAUCUAGAGUGAGGAAGAGGGUCGUGGAAUUUCCAGUGUAGAGGUGAAAUUCGUAGAUAUUGGAAAGAACACCGGUGGCGAAGGCGGCGACCUGGUCCUUUACUGACGCUGAGGCGCGAAAGCGUGGGGAGCAAACAGG
rnacentral:rRNA from 1 species